rnacentral:rRNA from 1 species
AGGACGAACGCUGGCGGCGUGCUUAACACAUGCAAGUCGAGCGAGGCCCUUCCUUCGGGAAGGUGCCCUAGCGGCGAACGGGUGAGUAACACGUGGGCAACCUGCCCCUAGCACUGGGAUAAGCCCGGGAAACCGGGUCUAAUACCGGAUAUGACCUUCGAGGGCAUCCUUGAAGGUGUAAAGGAUUCUGGCUAGGGAUGGGCCCGCGGCCUAUCAGCUUGUUGGUGGGGUAAUGGCCUACCAAGGCGACGACGGGUAGCCGGCCUGAGAGGGCGACCGGCCACACUGGGACUGAGACACGGCCCAGACUCCUACGGGAGGCAGCAGUGGGGAAUCUUGCACAAUGGGCGAAAGCCUGAUGCAGCGACGCCGCGUGAGGGAUGACUGCCUUCGGGUGUAAACCUCUUUCAGCAGGGACGAAGCGAAAGUGACGGUACUGCAGAAGAGCACCGGCCAACUACGCGCCAGCAGCCGCGGUAA